CCCCCAUCUCUUCCAAACUCCAACCCCCCAGCUCACUCACUCACUCAUCCUUUAAAUACUUCUUAGUAUACAAAUGCCCCUGUACUUGCUUAGCACAUAGACUUCUUCCUAUUCCAACCCCCAUGUACUCUGAAUUGUAUGCACAGCUCUCACACUUCCCAAGCAAUGCACCAAUCAGCAAUUCUAUCCUUCCAGACGCCACAACCUGUGUCAGCAGACAACUAAUUGGUUAAUUUGUAAGCCCUGUUUUGGGUUUUUAAAGUCUGACUUGAUCAGCAGGUGCUGAUUGUGAUAGAGACUGUAAAAACUGCUCAGCCAAUAUGUCCAAGCUUGUAGAGUGCGUCCCGAAUUUCUCAGAGGGGAAGAACAAAGAGGUUAUAGAUGCUCUGGCUGCAGCAAUUACCCAAACAGGAGGCUGCCGCCUGCUGGAUGUGGAUCCUGGAGCUUCCACUAACCGCACUGUAUUCACCUUUGUUGGCUCUCCUGAUGCUGUGGUAGAUGGGGCUCUGAAUGCAGCACGUGUGGCUUUUCAAAUGAUUGAUAUGCGCAACCACAAAGGUGAGCACCCACGUAUGGGAGCACUGGAUGUGUGUCCCUUUAUCCCUGUCAGAAAUGUCACAAUGGAAGAGUGUGUGGCCUGUGCCAACCAGUUUGCUAAGCGACUGGCAAAGGAGCUACAAGUUCCAGUGUAUCUGUAUGGUGAAGCUGCUCGCAGUGAAAGCCGCAGAUCCCUGCCAGCUGUACGGGCUGGAGAAUAUGAAGCUUUGCCCACUAAGCUGAAGAACCCAGAAUGGGCUCCUGACUUUGGUGAGCCAGUCUUUGUCCCUAGCUGGGGUGCAACUGUGAGUGGAGCUCGCAAGUUCCUAAUUGCUUACAACAUCAAUUUAUUGAGCACCAAAGAGUUGGCUCAUCGCAUUGCUCUUAAUAUUCGUGAGGGUGGCCGUGGAAAGGAUCAGCCAGGGCGUCUUCAGAAGAUCCAGGCAAUUGGAUGGUUCCUUCAGGAAGAAAAUUUGGCACAAGUCUCAACAAAUCUACUUGAUUUUGAAAUAACCCCUCUGCAUGUAGUAUAUGAAGAGGUGUGCAAGGAUGCCAAGGAACUGACCCUCCCUGUAAUAGGUUCCCAGUUGGUGGGUUUGGUGCCCCUCCAGUCUCUGCUAGAUUCUGCAGAGUUUUAUAUCCAGAAAGAGAAGCUGUUUGUACUUGAGGAGGAGCACAAAAUCAGACUGGUAAUUAACCGUCUUGGUCUGGACUCUUUGGCGCCAUUUGAUCCUCGACAAAGAAUUAUCGAGUACCUUGUCCAGGAUGAUCUUUCGGAGGCAUCAUUAGUCACCCAGUCACUGCGGGGGUUUGUGCAAAGUGUGGGUGCACGUAGUGCUACCCCUGGUGGUGGCUCUGUUGCUGCAGCUGUGUCUGCAUUGGGGGCAGCACUGGGCUGCAUGGUGGGCCAUAUGACCUAUGGGAAACGUCAAUUUGAGUCUUUGGAUGGGGUGAUGCGGGAAUUGAUUCCACCAUUUCAUCAUGCAGCUGAAAAGUUGCUCACUAUGGUUGAUGCAGAUUCCAAUGCAUUUGGAAGUUACAUGGCUGCAUUGAAGCUUCCCAAAAACACAGCUGAAGAGCAAGAGAAGCGUUCUGCUGCCCUACAGGAGGGCCUAAAGGAAGCUGUUAAAGUGCCACUAACUCUGGCAGAGCACAUCAAUACCUUGUGGCACCCUCUGCUGGAAAUGUCAAAACAUGGAAACAUUGCAUGCAAAUCUGAUUUGCAGGUAGCCGCCAAAGCAUUAGAAACUGGAGUAUUUGGGGCUUACUUUAAUGUCCUAAUCAAUCUGCGGGAGAUAAAGGAUAUUGAAUUCAAAAGUCAGACUGAAGAGAAAGUUUCCAGGCUGUUGGAUGAGGCAAAAACAAGUGCGCUGUCUGUGCUCCAAGUGUGUGAUGGAAGAAACUGAAUGUGCCACAAGGAUAACAUAAUGAUAUUGCUCUAACAAUUUGUCACUGUCGUUUGCUUCUUGAUUCUGGUGAAUUUGCCUUGAAACAAAUCUGCCUUCUGGUUAACUGUUGCUUUGUGUUUCUUCUUGCUAUUUAAUAUGACAUGCAACUAUGUCAAUUUCUAGGCUCUCUUUGUGUAUGUAAUUUCUCAGACAGGGUGAGGUUAGCUGAAGUAUAUUUGCAUGUGUGACUUGGAUCACAGGGCUCCCACCUGCCUCUAACCCCUCCCCUAGGUACCUUCCAAACUCCUCCCUUUUCCUAUAAGUGGAAUUGACUUCUCUGUGAGGCACAGUCAGCUGAUCUGAACGCCUGGGCUGCAGUGACUGUAGUGUGUGAUUCUCCGUCAUGUGGAACCCAAAUCAAGGAACCCCCUAUUGGCAGCCUCCACCACCAGGUGGCUGUGCUCCUCCUCCGGGAUGCUAUGCUCCCCCUUCAGGGCCCUACCCUCCUGGCUGCCAAGUAUACCCUGCAUACCCAGGUCCUGCAGUUGGCUAUCCAGGUGGGUGCCCUCCUCCUCACCAUCCUCCAGGUCAUGGACCUCAUGGACAUCACGGGCAUCACGGACAUCAUGGGCAUCAUGGACAUCACGGGCAUCAUGGACAUCACGGGCAUCAUGGACAUCAUGGGCACCAUGGACACCAUGGGCAUUAAUUGUGUGGGUUGCAGGUACUUCCUCCAUUAUCAUGGCAGUGGCUCCAGCUCUGACUCCGACUGAUGGGUGAUUGAAGACUGAAGAUAGAUUCAAAUGUCAAUUUCUCCUCAUUAUAUGGCAAGCCAUUGUAUAAAUCCACACUCUCCUGUUGCAAUGCAUAUAUAUCAAUUUUAGAACAUUCCCUGCAUAGCCUUACCUACUAUAUACUGCUAUAAACUAAAUAAUUUCCUUGAUACUGACCUGGUGAUUCCUUAUUGCAUUUGAAUUACACAAAAAGCCUGUAUGGCCAGCAAUAAAGAGACAUUUAAACUA